AUUGAACGCUGGCGGCAUGCUUUACACAUGCAAGUCGAACGGUAACAGGUUAAGCUGACGAGUGGCGAACGGGUGAGUAAUGCAUCGGAACGUGCCCGAUCGUGGGGGAUAACGCAGCGAAAGCUGCGCUAAUACCGCAUACGAUCUGAGGAUGAAAGCGGGGGACCGUAAGGCCUCGCGCGAUCGGAGCGGCCGAUGUCAGAUUAGGUAGUUGGUGGGGUAAAGGCUCACCAAGCCAACGAUCUGUAGCUGGUCUGAGAGGACGACCAGCCACACUGGGACUGAGACACGGCCCAGACUCCUACGGGAGGCAGCAGUGGGGAAUUUUGGACAAUGGGCGAAAGCCUGAUCCAGCAAUGCCGCGUGCAGGAAGAAGGCCUUCGGGUUGUAAACUGCUUUUGUACGGAGCGAAAAGGCUCUCUCUAAUACAGGGGGCUCAUGACGGUACCGUGAGAAUAAGCACCGGCUAACUACGUGCCAGCCGCCGCGGUAAAAC
rnacentral:rRNA from 1 species